ensembl:lncRNA
GACACCAAGGGGUUUCAUAUCUUUUCCAACAUCACACAAGCCAUGCUUCUGUCUUCCAAACACAGGUUCUUUCCACUAAGAUGGGUUGAAAGAAAAUGCAGAGCUUCUGAUCUCUGGUAUUCCCCCCGCUGCCCUUUCCCCUGGUCUGCCCAGCUUUCUUACAAAGCUCCACACCUGGUCUCUGUACCAAUUUGAGUGAGUCAUGAAGCUGAAAGCCUAGCAGUCUCCAGAGGUGGCCGGGGUGACCUGCAUUUCGUGGGCUGAUACAUCACAGGCAAGCAUGGUUUCCUGGGUUUCUCUGAUGCUCUCAUCUGCCAGAGACUGAUUGGAAUGUGCAGUCACUCACGGUGGAAGGGGAAACGUGUUUCUCAUUCAGCAAGAAUGUGGUUCCAUCCACAGAGUUUACAGCACGGUUACAUUUGAAGUUCAACCCUAGAACUUUGUGGCAGUAAAAAAUGGUCGUAAUUUAUAGGAAAAUGUCACUCGGCUGUCUCUUCUAUAAAAGCCUUUUACAGCUCUCAUUGAAUAUAAAUCAGAAUGUAUGCUGCCAACAAAGUGAUGGUUUUGGCACAAUGUUUUCAAGACGAGAAGAAAUGGACUAGAAUUGUCUUGGCUUUUUCCUGAGGACAGAUAUUGCAGGAAUUUAUGGCUGAUCCAAAAUCAAUAUUCUUGUCUUUAAAAAUAGGUAUGAGUAAAUUCAUGUCUUGGUGAAAUUCCAAAUUCAUUAAAGCUGCCAUUAUAGCGUUUACCCACAUGAUGCUGAGGGUGCCAUGCUUUUGUAGUUUGAAAUGGACAUGAGAGUGUUUUUCUUGUAGUUUUUAUCACAUUCUUAGAUACAUAACUCAAGCAUUAAGCUGUAUUUCAUUCUCGUUGGGGGGAGGGGGGAGGCCUAGGUCUCCAAAGGAUUCAUUUGCUCAAUUCAUCUUGGAGAUACACAAGAAGCCUCACGUUCUACUCUUCUCCAAGUGUCAAGAAGAUGUUAAAAAUAAAAAGGUAAACAAGGAAAAAUCUGUGUUUGAA